GACGAGGGACCCUAGCGUUGUUCGGAAUUACUGGGCGUAAAGCGUGCGCAGGCGGCUUUGCAAGACAGAUGUGAAAUCCCCGGGCUUAACCUGGGAACUGCAUUUGUGACUGCAUGGCUGGAGUGCGGCAGAGGGGGAUGGAAUUCCGCGUGUAGCAGUGAAAUGCGUAGAUAUGCGGAGGAACACCGAUGGCGAAGGCAAUCCCCUGGGCCUGCACUGACGCUCAUGCACGAAAGCGUGGGGAGCAAACAGG
rnacentral:rRNA from 1 species